rnacentral:tRNA from 2 species
GCCGGUGUGAUGGAAUUGGUAGACGUAGUGGACUCAAAAUCCACCGGUGGCAACACCGUACCGGUUCGAGUCCGGUCACCGGCACCA